GCGGGUAUGGUUGAGUGGUAAAAUUUCUCUUUGCCAAGGAGAAGAUGCGGGUUUGAUCCCCGCUACCCACC
rfam:Picea glauca, whole genome shotgun sequence.